AGACUUGAUCAUGGCUCAGGAUGAACGCUAGCUACAGGCUUAACACAUGCAAGUCGAGGGGAAACGACAUUGAAAGCUUGCUUUCGAUGGGCGCCGACCGGCGCACGGGUGAGUAACGCGUAUCCAACCUGCCCACCACUUGGGGAUAACCUUGCGAAAGUAAGACUAAUACCCAAUGACGUCUCUAGAAGACAUCUGAAAGAGAUUAAAGAUUUAUCGGUGAUGGAUGGGGAUGCGUCUGAUUAGCUUGUUGGCGGGGUAACGGCCCACCAAGGCUACGAUCAGUAGGGGUUCUGAGAGGAAGGUCCCCCACAUUGGAACUGAGACACGGUCCAAACUCCUACGGGAGGCAGCAGUGAGGAAUAUUGGUCAAUGGACGAGAGUCUGAACCAGCCAAGUAGCGUGCAGGAUGACGGCCCUAUGGGUUGUAAACUGCUUUUAUAAGGGAAUAAAGUGAGUCUCGUGAGACUUUUUGCAUGUACCUUAUGAAUAAGGACCGGCUAAUUCCGUGCCAGCAGCCGCGGUAAUAC
rnacentral:rRNA from 1 species